CCCACGAGACAGUGCUGGCAUCAGACAAUGCGCUUAAUUGUUGCCGUGAUUCUUCACCCGCUUACCGCUGGCCAAAUCUGCUAUCAGCUUUAAUGUGUAGCACAUUCGAAAGACCGCGGCGAUGUGCCGAGGCUCUCCAACAUACGUGGAGCCCACUGACGAAGAAGCUCGGGGCAGCUGUCAGUUUCCAACACAAUUGUGCAUGGGCAGUGCGCCGUGGACAUCUAUAGGUGCAUGGUGGCUGCCUGGCAACGCGAUGAAUGAUACACAGGGUACUAGAAAAAGACGCUGAUUUUGGCAAUAAUGCUCCGGCCCUCCAAGACAUUUGCUCAUGACCAAGUUAAAGCAUCAGCACCCGUGUCGGCUCGAGUGGGGGCGGGUAGGAUAUUUAGAGAAAUGGACAUGUUGUGAGCUGCGCGUGCGCAGGAUAGAUCUGUCCGCUGCCGAAGAUGCUGAACACGCAGAAUAGAAGACUGACUCCACCGCUGACAUCAUUUCCAUUUUCGCCCUCCUGGACCCACCCUUCUCGGCCGAGUCACCAUAUAAUCCUGGAACCAGCCAUUUUGCUCCAAUUCUGAGUUCCUAUGUGAAAAGAUAAACUCCAGAACAUGUUGUGUUCUAUAUUAUUGUGAACUUUUUCAGUUAUAUGGGAUCACCAAGGUAGUGCCCCAACUCUUUAACAUCAUCAUUGUGUCCUCUUUUACAAAGGAUAUUGUCAAAAUGAUUUGUAGGCUGAAGUUUAGUAAUUCUCAGUCCUUCACUUUUACUUUUUAAUAUCCUUCCAAAUAUUUUUUAUUUGGAUAGUUCAUGAUGAAU